rnacentral:rRNA from 1 species
AUUGAACGCUGGCGGCAGGCCUAACACAUGCAAGUCGAACGGUAACAGGAAGCAGCUUGCUGCUUUGCUGACGAGUGGCGGACGGGUGAGUAAUGUCUGGGAAACUGCCUGAUGGAGGGGGAUAACUACUGGAAACGGUAGCUAAUACCGCAUAACGUCGCAAGACCAAAGAGGGGGACCUUAGGGCCUCUUGCCAUCGGAUGUGCCCAGAUGGGAUUAGCUAGUAGGUGGGGUAACGGCUCACCUAGGCGACGAUCCCUAGCUGGUCUGAGAGGAUGACCAGCCACGCUGGAACUGAGACACGGUCCAGACUCCUACGGGAGGCAGCAGUGGGGAAUAUUGCACAAUGGGCGCAAGCCUGAUGCAGCCAUGCCGCGUGUAUGAAGAAGGCCUUCGGGUUGUAAAGUACUUUCAGCGGGGAGGAAGGGAGUAAAGUUAAUACCUUGGCUCAUUGACGUUACCCGCAGAAGAAGCACCGGCUAACUCCGUG